UACGUAGGGCGCAAGCGUUAUCCGGAAUUAUUGGGCGUAAAGAGCUCGUAGGCGGUUUGUCGCGUCUGUCGUGAAAGCCCCGGGCUCAACCUGGGAAUGGCGAUGGAUACUGGCUCGCUAGAGUGCGGUAGAGGAGAGUGGAAUUCCCGGUGUAGCAGUGAAAUGCGUAGAGAUCGGGAGGAACAUCAGUUGCGAAGGCGGCUCUCGUGGACCAGCACUGACACUGAGGCACGAAAGCGUGGGGAGCAAACAGG
rnacentral:rRNA from 1 species